rnacentral:lncRNA from 1 species
UUGAAUAAAUAAUGCAUAUGUAUAAGAAUGGAACACAUAUAUUGUUGGAUACUAUAUGGAACGGAACACAAUCUACAACUUUUGUCAAGAACAGAGCAUGUAAUGGGAUUUAUAUUGUACAAAGUUUAAACCAACUUGGUUGGAAUCACUAAUAAACCAAGCAUCAUAUGCACCUUCAUCUGCAAAUUUUAUACAUUUAUCAAAUGUUUAACAUUCAUAAAUAAAUCAAAUUACAAAAUAUUGAAUUAAUGAAGUUGUAACAUUCAAUUACUAACUUGUUAUAUUCCCUAUACAAGUCCACUUUUGAAUUUUAUAGAAAAAC